rnacentral:snRNA from 1 species
UUCGCUUCUCGGCCUUUUGACCUACCUCAAGUGUAGUAUCUGUUCUUAUCAGUUUAAUAUCUGAUAUGUCCCCCAUCAGUGGGGCGGAGCAGUGGCUCUGU